GACGAACGCUGGCGGCGUGCCUAAUACAUGCAAGUCGAGCGAAGUUUUUCUGGUGCUUGCACUAGAAAAACUUAGCGGCGAACGGGUGAGUAACACGUAAAGAACCUGCCUCAUAGACUGGGACAACUAUUGGAAACGAUAGCUAAUACCGGAUAACAGCAUUAACUGCAUGGUUGAUGUUUAAAAGUUGGUUUUGCUAACACUAUGAGAUGGCUUUGCGGUGCAUUAGCUAGUUGGUGGGGUAAAGGCCUACCAAGGCGACGAUGCAUAGCCGACCUGAGAGGGUGAUCGGCCACAUUGGGACUGAGACACGGCCCAGACUCCUACGGGAGGCAGCAGUAGGGAAUCUUCCGCAAUGGGCGAAAGCCUGACGGAGCAACGCCGCGUGAGUGAAGAAGGAUUUCGGUUCGUAAAGCUCUGUUGUUAGGGAAGAAUGAUUGUGUAGUAACUAUACACAGUAGAGACGGUACCUAACCAGAAAGCCACGGCUAACUACGUG
rnacentral:rRNA from 1 species